AUCAUAGUCAAAAUCUGAGUUUGAUCCUGGCUCAGAAGGAACGCUAGCUAUAUGCUUAACACAUGCAAGUCGAACGUUGUUUUCGGGGAGCUGGGCAGAAGGAAAAGAGGCUCCUAGCUAAAGUUGUCUCGCCCUGCUUCAAAACUACAGGGCGCGCGCUACGGCUUUGACCUAACGGCCUCCGUUUGCUGGAAUCGGAAUAGUUGAGAACCAAGCGGCGAACG
rnacentral:rRNA from 1 species